CCUGAGCUGCAGAAGAAGAGCCUGCAGGCCUCUUGGGUAGAAUUGCACCUUCACAAUAAUGGUAAAGAGAGCAUUGUUUAAGCCACAGUUUCUAUUUAUAAUGGUUACAUGAAAAAAAUACUGCUGGAUUUCCAGCAUGCAUCCAGAUAAAGCUAGCUCCAAGAGUUCUCACUGUAAUAGCCUGUCUUUCAGAGAUAUUAUGGGAUACCAAUAGGGCUUCUAAAACAGAUAUACAAAGCAUUCAAAAGAAAAACAGCUCUCACUCCAAGAAAGAUUAUAUUGAGAAAAAAGGAAGUUAAAAGCCUCUUUAAAAAACCUGAGAUUAGAUAUAAGAUUGCUCAAGUCAGUCAGAAAAUAUUCCUCUAAAAAGAAUUUCUCUCUAAAUACCCAAAGUGCAUAGCUACUCUCAGCAUGAGUAACAUGAGUACUAUGAAGAAAGGGGGCAUAUUAUCAUUGGAAUUUUAAAAGUUUUUAUUCAUCUCUGCUGCGCUCAUCUAGCCAUUGAAGGCAAAAUCUAUAUUGAAAUAUAUUUGACAACUUACACCAGUACCUUUGA
rnacentral:lncRNA from 1 species